rnacentral:rRNA from 1 species
GAUGAACGCUGGCGUCGUGCCUAAUACAUGCAAGUCGAGCGAACGGACGAGAAGCUUGCUUCUCUGAUGUUAGCGGCGGACGGGUGAGUAACACGUGGAUAACCUACCUAUAAGACUGGGAUAACUUCGGGAAACCGUAGCUAAUACCGGAUAAUAUUUUGAACCGCAUGGUUCAAAAGUGAAAGACGGUCUUGCUGUCACUUAUAGAUGGAUCCGCGCUGCAUUAGCUAGUUGGUAAGGUAACGGCUUACCAAGGCAACGAUGCAUAGCCGACCUGAGAGGGUGAUCGGCCACACUGGAACUGAGACACGGUCCAGACUCCUACGGGAGGCAGCAGUAGGGAAUCUUCCGCAAUGGGCGAAAGCCUGACGGAGCAACGCCGCGUGAGUGAUGAAGGUCUUCGGAUCGUAAAACUCUGUUAUUAGGGAAGAACAUAUGUGUAAGUAACUGUGCACAUCUUGACGGUACCUAAUCAGAAAGCCACGGCUAACUAUGUG